GUCAGUCUUUGCCAUGCAUUCAGGAGAGUACCACAACGAGAGAGUUGGAUGUUCUACGUCAGAACGCCGGCUCCUGCAUCAGCAGCACCACACGCAUGUGUGUACUGAAAAUAAGCUCCAUGACAUCAGUAACUGAUGAUAUGUACAAAAGUCUCGUCCUUCUUCCUGAAGCAUCAGUGGACCCUCCUAACGGGCCUGAGAUAUCCCUCUGACCCCCCACCCAUGAGGGAGGAGGGCAUCUAUGACUGGUAUAAACUGUUUUGGGUUUAACUUACCCGAGAUGCCUCUAAGAUCAGCAGCUGAGGGACUGAAGACAUCAGAGAUACCGAGAGACUUUAAAACAGGCUUCAAAUUGAACCUGCUCUGCAUCUUAAACCUAAAAUACAUGUAUAAAUACUAUUCAUUUUAAAUCCCAUUUGCAUAUAAUAAUAUUUUACAAUUAUUAUUAUUAUUAUUUUUUAUGUUGUUACCUGGGCAGAAAUAUAUCCAUCUUAGUGCGUCUUAAUCCAGUAUCCCAGAGUCCCACAGCACGGGCAGUGAGCUGCUUUUCUAGCUGGGACAGAGGGGUUUUCCGGUCACUAGGCAAGGCCACCAGUAGCCUGAGUGAGCGAUCCAGGCUGAAGGGCAAGUUCUGAGUGUCAGUGAAGAGGAAUUGUUUCUGCCAGGCACCUUGAAACACCACCGUGCUCAGAAGAGCCAUGUGCAGUAAACUGUCUUGCCUGGAGGCCUCUUCCUGGGCCUCACUGGACUGGAGCUGCU